AUUGAACGCUGGCGGCAUGCCUUACACAUGCAAGUCGAACGGUAACAGGUCUUCUGAUGCUGACGAGUGGCGCACGGGUGAGUAAUACAUCGGAACGUGCCCAGACGUGGGGGAUAACGAGGCGAAAGCUUUGCUAAUACCGCAUACGAUCUAAGGAUGAAAGCAGGGGACCGCAAGGCCUUGUGCGUUUGGAGCGGCCGAUGGCAGAUUAGGUAGUUGGUGGGAUAAAAGCUUACCAAGCCGACGAUCUGUAGCUGGUCUGAGAGGACGACCAGCCACACUGGGACUGAGACACGGCCCAGACUCCUACGGGAGGCAGCAGUGGGGAAUGUUGGACAAUGGGCGAAAGCCUGAUCCAGCAAUGCCGCGUGCAGGAUGAAGGCCUUCGGGUUGUAAACUGCUUUUGUACGGAACGAAAAGGCUCUGGCUAAUACCUGGGGCACAUGACGGUACCGGAAGAAUAAGCACCGGCUAACUACGUG
rnacentral:rRNA from 1 species